rnacentral:lncRNA from 1 species
CGUGCUUACAAUAAAUACAAUGCAAGUCAUAACCUUUAUUAUAAAAAUAUGUCAGUGCUCCACAGUAGAGGGUCAUUAACAUUGCUAAACUGUAGAAUUUGAUCAUUAGCCAAGGGUACUAUAUUUUGCUUUUAAUAAGGCAGUGAUUUAUAUAGAAACUUAUUAAGAAGCAAGAUAUGGCUCAUUUCUGAUCUCUGACAUGCUUAAAAGAUGUUGCAAAUUAAGGGAUCGAUCCUGUAGAUCGCUGAGCUGAUAUGAGGAAAUGUCAAUAAACAAAGUGCUCGCUAUGUCGCUGGGCUGUUCCCAGCGCUUAAGUAGAUGUACAGAGCAUGGAGGAAAUGGAAACAGUAAAGGACCUGGGCAUUUUGGAUUUCCUAUCUAGUUGGGAAGCCAAGCAAACUGUUCUUUCCUUUUUUCUCUGGGCGAGCCGUUGAGCGCUUUUCGGUGGCGUGGGGAGAGCUGGACCCACCAAGGAGCUCUGCGGGAGAGUGGUGCCCCACAAACAGAGCUCGUGGCAUCUCCGUGCGGGGCCAGCCUGGGUUUGGCACGGUCGCGUAUCCUCGCCGCUGGGCAUAACAGUGCAGCCGCUCCGUGAGACGUGGUGUCCUCUAAACGCUGGUGUCUCCUGGGAUGGGGCUGGUCUGCGUACCCGGGGCCUGGGCUGCAGCUCGCCUUUGGGUAUGGGGAGAAGAGAUCUUCUGGUUGAACUACGCUUUUGGUGUACUUGGUUCUUGCACUGUCACCCUAUGGGAGAGAAGGGCCACGUGACAAUUAAAAUAACUGCUGGAAAUGGAGAGUUCCCAGGGGAAAAUAGCCUGCCUUCAUCCUUUGAUCCUGACUCUCCAGUCGUGGGAACCAGGAGCAGUGAUCUUCCGUGAACUCUCCUCGUCUGUCCUCUCGCUUCGGAGCAGACCAUAGGUGUAAAGCGAAAGCAAAGCGGUCGGACCCUUCCGGCUCCUCCCUCGAGGCCAGCCGUUCUGCUGGGCUUUCUUACCGU